CUCACUCACUCACUCAACUAACUAUUGGAUAAAUGACUCGCAUUCUUCCCUUGGUGAAGUCAUGAAGGAUACAGAGUAGACUCGCAUUCUUCCCUCGGUGAAGUCAUGAAGGACACAGAGAAUGGUCUAUUUUCUGUCCUGCGGACAAUACAAACCGGCCCUGGGUUGGAAGGCUUCCUCUCCUGGCACUGCUCCUGUCAGACUCCGCUCCUGGAGCCCUCUCAGAAUUCAGCUUGCGUCCCCCUCCUGGGCUUCUUCCAGGCCGUGCUGCCUCCGGCUGUGGACCCUGCAUGUGCAUCCCCACUCUUGCAUUACCAGAAAGCCAUCCUGUCAUCUGCCCACAGCCUUACCAGCAUCUGUCUUCCUGUCCCAUCUGGAAAGUGGGACCAGUCACCGUUACCUCCUUGAGGAGGGAAAUCUGCUCUGAGCUACUGCAUGACUGAAACAGUGGGAAGGCACACAGCUAAGUGUGAUUGAUUUAGUGCAAAGAGGUCCAUUUAACUUCAACCAACACGUGGGGGGUUUUUUUUUCUCUCUAUUCAAGUUGCUUGAAGAUCACCAACUGGUGGUUCUGGAAGC
ensembl:lncRNA